CAGCCGCCACGGUAAUACGAAGGGUGCAAGCGUUAAUCGGAAUUACUGGGCGUAAAGCGUGCGUAGGCGGUGAGUUAAGUCUGCUGUGAAAUCCCCGGGCUCAACCUGGGAAUGGCAGUGGAUACUGGCUCGCUAGAGUGUGUCAGAGGAUGGUGGAAUUCCCGGUGUAGCGGUGAAAUGCGUAGAGAUCGGGAGGAACACCAGUGGCGAAGGCGGCCAUCUGGGACAACACUGACGCUGAGGCACGAAAGCGUGGGGAGCAAACAGGAUUAGAUACCCCAGUAGUCCCUGUCUCUUAUAU
rnacentral:rRNA from 1 species